GCGGCCCGGCUGAGCUCGGCGUGGGCAGCAGCGGCUGCGGUGCGAAGGCUCCGGCCUGCGGGAAGACGCUAACCGAGGCGGGGAGGGUCAAGCCAGCUGGCACGCUGCUGAGCGGGAGGGGCAGAGAGGCGCUGUAGGUCAUGGAGCCCAGGGGCGCCCCCACAGGCCCGCCUGCCAGGCCCAGCGCCGGCGAGCCGGUGCGCAUCUGGUUUAGCGUCGGCCUGCCCGGCUCGCCCGCGCCGAACGGGUUGGUGGGGGACGGAGCGCUGAGACCUGCAGAACGAGAGUGGCUUUGAGUGACCCGGGGUUCAGAGCCCUACACCGGGAGGUCGUGGAAGUUGGGAAGAAGAGUGGGCUCCUCCGGCGGAGGCUAGGCUCUGAAAGCAGGAGCCCCUGGGUUGAGGGACAAGGGCAUAUCUUACCUGUCAGGAAGGGGUUCCGGGUCUUUGCAACCUGGGGUGCCUUGACCAACGAGUCAAGGUUGACCAAGGAGGAAGCUGAGGGACCCAGGAAGGACUCGGGAGUCCGGCAAGCUCGGGCCUCUUUGCUUGGCUGGGUUAGUGCUUCCCCUAGUAUGCCCAGGUCCAGGGCAUCUGGCUCCUUCGUGCCAUUUUGCUUGGAACUGGGGCUGGGGUCUCCAAACAGGUCCAGCUCUGGAAUAGAAAUGCUAGAGCUAAUUGGUGGGGAAAGGGAUUGGCGCCCGACGUGGGAGGAAGAGGACAGAGGCUGCUCGGGGUGGGCCCCUCAUUCCCCAGAGCCUCACCAUCCCCUUGCCCUGCUCACCCACAGGGCUGCUGGGCUUCCCAGAGGGCAGGGCCUGCUCCAGCCCCUCCUUGGUCUCUGUGGAUUCUGGAGGUUUGGCAAAUGGGUCAAAGGUCGAGGCACCACCUCGGAAGAGAGAGAGGAAGAGGAGAUGGGUUGACAAAAAGGGCAGGUGUUGGUCUGACCCCUUUCCAGAGAAGCUGUCCUCCUAACACAAACAGUAUCUGCUGCCCCUUGGCCCUGCCUGGAAGUCCCCCAGCUCCUCACUCACACUCUCUGGCCCUCUUCUUACCAGGUGUGUCGGAGGUCUCCAGGGAGGCUCCCCAAGGGUCAGCCCCAGUGCUGGGGAGUUUGUGGUGGGGAGAGUUCAGGGCCCAGGGGUCUGUGGUGGGGGGCCCAGCAGGCAGCACUGGGGUCCUGCCCCAGGGCUCAGAGGAGGAGAGCAUGGGAGUCAGAUCCCAGGGCUGGCUUCGGGACAGGACGGUUCCUGAGGGGAUCGGAGACCAGGGGUCUGCAGAAGGCCCCCAGGAGGAUCCACUGGCCUCUGUGUUCGGCCUAAAACCUGAAAUGGGAACAGCAUAGACAUGAUCCCAGGCCCACCCUUAUCCCUCGCCCAGGGCCCUUCCCAGUUACCCAGCCCAAGUUGGGAGGCAGAAGAUCCAUGUCACAGAUGGCCUGCAGCCUCAGGACCACCCAGCAGGCUGGAGCCCCUAUUUGACAAGUGACCCCAGGAACUGGGACCUGCAGGUGUGGGCGACUCAGGCCACCUUCCCAGGCGUGCUGAGCAAGUGAGUGCAGCGAGAGAACAUUUUGCUGCGUUUCCUAGGAGCUGGGCCCUUCAGACAUUCUCCAUAGCCCUCACUACGAAAGCCUGUCCCACAGGCGGCGGAGGCUCAAGGUGGUGAGUGACUUGCCCGGUGACACUCAGAUUUUGGGAGGAGGUGCUUGGCCCAGCAAGUGGCUGGGAAGGAGGAGGCUCUUGGGCCAGCCUGGAAGUCUCUUGCAGCCCUGCAUGCCCACCUGGGAUGUCCCAUGGGUCAGCAGAGCAGUGUGUGGAGGGCGGGGCCAGGGCAGGUACGAAGAUGUCAGCCAAGUCCAGGAUGGAGGACUGUGGAGGGGAGAGGCAGCCGCGGCUCAGAAGUGGGCGGGGCCUGGAGGGAGGGCAGGCCCUGACCUGUCAGGCUAAUGCCAGUUCAUUCUCUUUAUUCAUUCCACAGAUACCUAUUCAUGAUCCCUCACCUCUGCACAGUGCUUUACAGUUUAUAAUGUUUCUUCAUCCACAGAGUACCUGAUUUUCAUAACAACCCUGUGAGGUAGGUAGGGCAGAUGAUGUACCCAUUUUAUGGAUGAGCCAGCCAGCGCACAGAGGGUGGAAUGGGUUUGCCUGAAGUCACACAGCCAGGGAGAGGCAGAGCUGGGAUAGAAUCCAGGCCAGCAGAAAGGGGCAGGAAGGCCAAAGGCAGAUGUUUUUCAACCAGCCUACCUCCCUAGGUCAGUGUCCAAGAGAAACUGGCCACAGUGAACAUGGACGGAAAGGAGACCACAGCACCCGGGCGUGGCAUGGACAGCUUUGGAGGGCAGCCUUGCACUCAGCAGCUGCCCACUCCCCAUGCGGAGAAAAUAUGUCCAUGAGCCCGAGGUGUUUUCAGCACCAUGUGCUUAGGCCAACCCUAGUCUUGAUUGACAGUAUCACAUAAUCCUAGCAUGUCAGAGCUGGAACUAUCCAAUAAGCACACUGUGCAGAAGGGGAAACUGAGGCCAUGACAGUGACAUGCCCCAAGUCAUAGAGUAAGUGGCAGCAAAUCCAGAACCCGAAUCCGGGGGUCUCCAAUCAGGAACCUUUUGCAUCCCACUUUGCUGUUAACUCAGUCACCAGCCCAUGCAAUGUGGGACUAGGGCUGCUACACCCCCACCCCUAUUUCAUCGAAUAAACACAUCAGUGCUUACUAUAUGCCAGGCACUGCUCUGCUCUCUCUUUACAAAUACUCAGUCCAUCUCUUAGGCCCUGUCCAUCCCAAGCACCGCAGCCCACUCCCUACCUGGCUGGUUUUUAGCUUCUCCUCCUCCUUUCUCUCUUCUCUCUCAGGCUCUCUGUCCCGCUGAUGGUGGACCACGGCCCCUGCACCAUUGGCCAUGGGGGAGCCAUCACCCUGCCAGGACCUCACCUCCUGCAGAAGGCACAGAAAGAGUUAGGAGCAUGAGCAGCUCAGGCGGGAAUCCGGGGACCUGUGCACCAGAGGCUGGAGUCGAGAGAGUGCAGGGUGGGAGGCAGCUGAGAGGUUAGGAGCAGCAGGGCCACCGGGUACAGCGGGAGGAGGCUGUUAGUGCCCUGAAGCACCUCCACCAGCAGCAGCAGCAGCACCGGCAGCCCAGCGGGCUCGGCCCACUACCUUCUCGUGCUCCUGCCGGCUCAGGCGCAGAGCCAGCUGCAGCUGCAGGUCCUCGUCCCUGUGGGAGGCUGGGGGGACAGGCUGCGGAGGAAGAGAGGGGUAAACUUGGCCCUGUACCCCCACCUUGGGACCAGAAGGGCAGUAUAGGCCUGCCUGGGUCAUGGGGAUGGAGACACUAAUGCCCACCCUCAGUGUGCAUGGGCCAUUUGCCGCUCAGUCAGCAGGGUGGGCGUGGCCUUCUCCCUGCCUGCAUCUGAAAUGCAGUUUAAAGGUCAGGAAGACUGAUCUUUCGCUUCUGAAUCCUCUGAGAGUUCCUCAGGCCCUCCUGUGUGAGGCCCAGCUGCUUCCUGCCUGGUCUUCCUGGAUCCACAGAGGUAAUGGCAAAGAUGAUGAUAUCGGGGGCCUGUCCUUGUCUCCCCAAAAGGAUAGCUGGUGGGCGGGGGUGGGAAGCAUAUCCCAGUGUCUCCUAGGAAUAUGUCUGAGCACACUCACCCACUCCACCAUGAGGUGGUAGCAGGCACCCCAAGACAUAGCAUGUGCCCCUAAUUGUACACUCGCCACCCUUUCCAGGCCCAGUGGAGAGGACUGGAGGCAGGGAGGCAGUCCCUGCCUGCGACAAACCGACAGAGAUAAUGGGUCUUGUGCUGUCCUUGGGCACAGGACUGGGGCUUUGGGUGACAGAGCCUGAGUCAAGGCCAAGGGGCUCCCAGGCACUCUCUCCCCCUAGCCCAUCCCCUCCCCACCGCAGUGGGGCUGCAUGGCCUCACCUUCUCUGCCUCCUCACGGCUCAUGGCGAGGGCCAGCUGCAGCUGCAGUUCCUCUUCCCCUGACGUCUGAGGCCGGGCCUGCUCCAGGUCGGAGGUAUAGCGGGGUGACGAAGAGGAGGCUGCAAUGACCAUCAUGUCUCUGUGACCACACGAUUACCCAUCGGCUCCCACACCCCUCUGCCUGCCAGGAAGCUGAGGCUCAAGAGAACUGAGAGGAGGGGAACAACGGCCGUUGAGGCCCCCGUGGGCCAAGCAGUGUGCCAGGCACUCUGUAAGUUCCCCAUCCCAACCCAUCCCGGAUGGAGGGGCGGCUCCAGUCCCUCCUUAGCAGAUGCACAGGCGGCACUUAGGGCCCCUGACCAGGUUCCUGAAGCAGGACUUGAACCCAGGUGCCCUGACUCCAGCUCUUGGACUUCCAGAUGGACCCUGUCCUGGCUUGGGGGCAAGGGAGGUGCAAGGAUAGGAGGUUCUAGUCCAACGAGGUCACAACCUCAAAGCCCUCAGCAAACUGUCAAGGGCUUUAUGGAAGGCGGGCCAUUCUGAGUAUUCCUCAGAUCCUGGAAGCCCCCAUGACUGGGGGCAGGAGAGUCAGGGACUGUCUAGCCGCUGCCCUCAGGUAGGGGGAUGAAGGGGAAUGCCAUGUGUCUGGGUGCAGGGUAGAGGACGUUCCUGAACCUGGUCUCAUUUCAUUCUCAGAUCAAACAAUGGAGGUAGGUGAGCUUAUCCCCACUGUACAGAUGAGGAAACUGAGGUUCAGAGAACUGGUUGCCCAGGUCACACAGCUUGGAGGAAGCAGAAUAUAGAAUGCUAUCUGACUCCAAACCCAUGCUUCCACUAUCGCGCCAUCCUAUCAGGCAGCUAACGAAUGAUAAUGAAUCUAUAACAACGUUAUUAUCUGAGCUAACUUGUUGAGCACCUCCUAUGUGCCGGGUGUUGCGCCUUGCGUGUUACAUUCCUUAUGUCUGAAUCUUCAUAACACCCCUCGGAGGUAGGUAUUAUGAACCAUGGCUUGGAUUGCAGAGCCAGGAAUGGAAGUCGGGCCACCUCCCCAUCCCAGCCACACACCGGGGCUUACUCACAGUUGUAGGAGGACGGGGAGCCCCGGGAGCGGCUGUAGUCCUCGCCGUAGCGGCGGCUGAAGCCCAGCUGCCCACUGCCAAUGCCGAUGCCCUCCAGUGCCAUGCGCUCCUUGGUCUUGAGGGCGUGGGUUCGCUCCUGCCGCAGCCGCUCCUCAUCCUUGAGCAGGGCCAUCACCUGCUUGACCUUCUCGCGCACGUUGACGCCCUGGUCCUUGCCGUCGCGGUCGAUGUACUGGAAGUCCUUGAGUGUCUGGAUGGUGUAGAGGUUCUCGCGGCACUGGUGGGCCACCCGCUCGGAGCCCGUCUUGAGCAGGUAGUCCAGCAAUGUUAGAGCCUUGUACACGUGCCGCCAGUUCUUGCCGCUGUCAUUGAGCCGCCGCCACAGCAUGCCCAUGACUUCGGUGAAGGCCACUGUGUUGAAGGUCAGGUCAGCGAUCUCGGACAUGAGCGAACUAGGGGGGCCCCAGGGGUCAUUGCUGGUGGCCUCGCGCACCUUGAUUUCUGCCUCGGAGUAGUUGUGCACGAUGUUCUUCACCUGGCGCCGGAGUGCGGAGGUCGUCAUGGCUGGAGACUUGGAGGUGGGUGGCCCUCGCCCCCGCCGGAGGUGGAGGGCUGAGGGCCACUGUGGCGAGGUCACAGUCUUGAAGGAUGGGCUGCCGUGUUAGCAGAGCAGCUGCAUCCUUGGGUUCCACAUGGGGCUGAGGAAGAGAGGGCCAGGAACUCAGGGGCAGAGGCCUACCUCAUGGGUCACUCAGCCACUGACCAACUAAAUGAGGCCUGGCCAGAGUGUCCCUGCCUCCAGGGACAGCCUUCAGCGGCACACGUUCUUAUUUCACUUACAAUUCAGCAGGCACUUGGAGCUUUGCAUGCUCAUCUAUCUAUCUUCACAGCCACACCCCAAAGAUGCUAUUAUCAUUACCUCCAUCCACAGAUGGGAAAGGUGGGGCUCAGAGUAUUAAAUGGGCCCGGUGCAGUGGCUCACGCCUGUAAUUCCAGGACUUCAGGAGGCCAAGGCAAGAGGAUCACUUGAGGCCAGUAGUUGGAGGCUGCAGUGAGCCAUGGUCAGGCCACUGGGCAACAGAGCGAGACCCUGUAAUAUUAAGUGACUUGUCCGAGAUCACAGAGCUGCUGCAUGGGGAACCAAGAUGACCCCAGGAAGCCCCACCUAAGAGUGCAUGGCCUCAUGGGGGAACGCUAACAGGAUUCCAGGAAUGCCCGCUUGCCUUGCUUCUGCUCGGCCACUGCCUCUGUUUCUGCUGAGAUCUAGCUUAAGACCUAUCCUUCCUAGCUCCUCAGCUCACUUUUCUCAUAUUGUUAAUUUUUGUAGUUUGAUGCAUUCAACACCUAUUUCCCGGAGGCCUUUUCUGAGCCAGGCACCAUGCCAGGCACAGAACACACGCCUUGGUCCACCCACGUUCAGUUGAGAGGGUACAGAAAAUCACAGUCCAGUGUGGGAGUGCAGAGCCGCACAGGAAGACCCAAGCCAGGAAAAUCAGGGGAGACUUCCUAGAGGAGGUGGUGACAGAGCUGAGAUCCAAGAUCACAAGGGAAGAGUAAGGAGGAGUGAACCAGCAAGUCAGGGGAGGGCGGCUCAGAAGAAAUGCUAUGACCUGGGCCAGAAGGCAAGAGAGCAAGUAUCGUUUGAGGAAGACUGCCCCUCAGAGUUCUGGCCACUGCCAACACUCCUGCAUGCCACCCCCACGUACACAUGGAAGUGUUGAGGCCAGAGAGGGGAUGGGACCUGCCUGCAUCAUAUGGCACGUAAGUGGCAGAGCCUGGACUACCAUCCAGGACUCCAGAAGACUAAUCCAAUUCUUAUUGUCAGUGUUACCCAGUUUGGUCAUUAUUUCAUCGGAUUGCUUUACUGUCUCAGUCCCACCUUCUCAGCUAGAAUGGAAGCUCCCUGAGAGUAGGAACAGUCUGGGUUCUCCAAAGCCCCAAAACGCUGGACACAUAGUGGACCUCUGGUACCCCAGCAGGGAGAAGAGCUGGGCCAGCCCAAUUCCCCCCAGUAGCCACAGGUCCAGGCUAUCUGCUGAAUACAACUCCAGGCCCAAGGUCCUCCCAAAGGCCCUUUCAGAAACCAAAAGAGGAAUUCCCUGACCACCACCAUUCCUCCCACACUAGCACUGGUGUGUGCAUGCACACACACACUGUCUGGGCCUGCAGAGCCUCCACUUCACCCGUGAACUGUCCCCCACCCACCAAACACCUUUCGGCUCCACCCUCCAUCCCAGCCCGUGCCCCAACUGGUCCCCAGGCUGCCAGAAGCAGGAAUCUGAAGGAGACUGUCCUCUCGCACCCGAUUCCACGCUCCUUCCACCCCAGCCCCGCCAGUGCUGGGCUCAGUUCAAAGCAGCCCCACGCUUUGAAAACAUGCCUUGGCAGGUUUUGUUGGGGGCCCAGAGAAUAAGAUACCGUGGGAGUGGGCGAGGUGGAGAGUGCCUGGCCCACAGCGCAGCCUACCUUUUGUCUGCUAUCUCUUUCCUUCCAGCGGGUCGUGGGCCUUCUGUGGGAAUGCCACGGCCACAACUUGUUUAACUCCUGCCCUCCCCCUUGCUAGUGACUCAGACCUGCCUUCACCUCCCCAACCCGUGGCUGGGGGUGGCAGAGUCAAGAUGGGAAAUAAUGUGCACCAAAGCCCGCCCAGCACACGCCCCUACCGGCUGGCCGCUGGAACUAGCAGAACCAGUCGGGCACUGUGACUGCACCAGAGCCCUACCUGGACCUGGCUGCCCUGGCCCUCCGGCCUGGCCUGUGUGGGGGCACCAGCCUCUGGGAGGGGACUCUCGGUGUGGGCCCAGCGGCCCUGCCUGGACCUUUCUCACAGAAGGUGGGCAUUCUCUGCACACCCCUGCAGGGGCUGGGGGGAAGGGCGGGGCCAGAAACAUGGGGAGGCACCUUGAUUUUCCUUCUCUGGAGUUUGAGGGGACAAGGUGAGGCUGCCCAAGCACAGAGAAGGGAGGAGGAAAGGAAGAAGCCUGCCCAAGCGCAGAGAAGGGAGGAGGAAAGGAAGAAGCCUGCCCAAGCGCAGAGAAGGGAGGAGGAAAGGAAGGAACGCGGGAACGCGGGAGGGAGCAGCUGGGAGCGCUGCCAGCAGUGUUACAAGCAAAGGGUUUUAUCGAACACGAUAUGCCCAGAAAUAAAAGGGAGUGUAACAGAAACCCAGCGGCCGAUAAGGCGGUGGCGGUAGCAGCAGCAGCCCUGGGCAGCUGGGUAUGGAAUUACUGCAGUGACCUUGAGCCAGACCCUGUCAGGUGGAGGGAAGGGCACAGAGAGGGCAGGGCCUGAGAAUUCAGAGAUGACGAGAGGGCAGAGGAGGGAGGAAGCUGAGGGGAUGGGAGCAGGGCCAGCAGGCGGUGGGAUGGGCCACGGGGCACGGAGUAUCAGCUCUCUCCUGCAUACAGGGUCCCAAGGAGAACUGCGCAGUAGGGAGGGGCUGCUCUUCUCAGGGCCUGCAGGAUGGGGGGAUCUGGAGAGUUUCCCAAAAGUCAGGACCGAAAAAUGCAGAUCGCUCAUCCCCAGCAAGGGUUUCGGAGAGAUGGAGAGAACCCAGAUCUGUCCAGUCACACGUGCAUGAGUUUGCGUAAAGUCUGUGCACCCACCAGCCCAGCCCACACCCUCUUCCCGUCCUCUGCUAAGGUGGGCUCCAGCCCCUGCCUCCAAGUCAGAUCCAGCCUGAGCAGUGGGGAAUGACAGUGCCCUUCUUGAUGCUGUAAGGGACAGGGGGUGAGCUUGAACUCUAAGCUUCUGGCCACUGUAAUAGCUGCAUCCCGGGAGCACAGAAGAUGGGGGAGGGGGGACUGCCCUGAGGCUAGAGGUGUGCAUGAGGGGCUGAAGAAGAGGAAACAGCAGAGAUGUGCAGAAGGAGUCUGUGGGGAAUGCCACCAAAGAUGCUAAGAUGCCACCAAAGAUGCUAAGUCCCAGGAUGGUUGGGGAGGGGGCCCUGAGUCCCUUUUUGGGGGCGGCAGGGAGGGAGGGGUGGCAGGAAAGAAGCCUUUAGGUCCUCUACAGCUCAGCCUUCUCCCUCGCACCUGGAAAAGAGACUAAGCCCCAGAACCACUGUUUGCUCCCCACCAACCCCCGCCUUCCAUGCCGCCACUGCCAGGGAGGGGGCCAGGGAGGAAGCUUACCUCCAGUGCGGGCUCCCUCGGCCCCAGCCCCAGCCCGAGUAGCCUCUGCGGUGACCCUCCGACCUGUGCAGCAGCGGGACGGCACAGCCUCGGGAGCGUCUCCAGAGCCAUCCACCAUGGACCCUCGUCCCAGAGACCCACCUGCUCCCAGGAGGUGCAGACCCCUCAGAGGGGCAGCGGCAGGGUCCCUGGAAUGGGUAGCAGCUCUUCCCGCGUGCGUUUGCCUCCUAGCCAGCGCCAGGCAGCACUCCGAGGAAAGUUGCUCAGCUGGCCCGGCAGGUCUGCCUCAGCAGUAACAGGACACAGGAGGAAGUGCAGGGCAGGUUAACCCCUUCCUGCUGGCCAGGCAAGUGGUGCAUUGAGAGGUGGGGGGCCUGCCUGUUGGCCGCCCCCAGGAAGUGCACAUCUGGAGCCAGUGCUGGCGACCUGAUCCCCUCUGCUUUGAGUUAACCCUUCCCCUGCCUCUUCAACAGGAAAGGAGGGGGGCUCCAACACCCCCACCACACCCCUCCCCUUCCUCCUCUGGGCCGGGAGGACAUUAAAGGAGAGGGCAGGGACAUUCCCUGGGGCUGGCUCUUUGGUGGAGCCCCCGUCUUCUCGUCUUCUUGGGGAGGAGAGCAUCAGGACUCCAGCACAGCCCCCUCCCUGCCUUUCCCACACGGAGUCAGAUCCUUCUGUCCAUCCUCCCCCUCCUGCAUCUCAGCUGGAGGAUGCCUGAGGCCCACUUAAGGAUGCCCACCCACCCAAAAACCAAAGUUGUUCUUCAAACUCUGGGAGCCUGGAGUGCUCUUCACACAGGGAGCCCAGCCCCAAAUGGUUAUGACUGACAGAAGACAAUGAGGGGCCUGAGUUUGAGCUGACAAUACCUUUUUUUCUGAGAGCCAUUUCUAGCCUGUUUCAUGUUCCCCUGAGCAAGGGAGGUAGCAUGAAGAUCAGCAGCUGUUUUUAAGGCAGAAAGAUGGCUCAAGGCCAGAUAGUUUGAGAUGAGGAGGGGGAUAAGGCAGACUAGACCCCGAAAUAACAAGGUGAUGUGGCCUCUAGAGCUGAAGAGGUGUGGUGAGCAUGAUCUUCAGGGACUGAAUUGGGGCCCUGGGACCCAGCUGAAGAGGGGAGAUGGCAGGGAGCCAGGUCCCAUGGGUCUAGUUCUACUCCUCAUCUCACACUUUGUCAUACUUGGUGAUGACACUUCGGGAAGACCUGGCUCCAGGAAGCACGACCCUGAAAGUGUGGGCCAAGGAAGCCAGAGGCAGGGACUACCAGAGGUGACACACUGUCCUGUCACCUGACUCCUUGUCUUGCUACCAAUCUGCUCCUCUGCUUGGCAUCCCACACAUCACUUCCCCAGCUAUGUCUGUCUGUCCUCCUGCAGGAGGGCUCUGGCAGCUGGCAGGAGGGGAUCUGAGGGCAGGUGGAACAUGGGAGGACCUGGAUCAGGAGCUGACCUAGCCAAGAUCCAUCAUGCAAGACACAGAGGCACACGGAAGUAGUAGAAACUUGAAGGUUCUUUAUUGAUUUAUUUAUUAACCCGUUUUCCAGAAGGUUGCUUGGGCCCGAGAGUCACCUGCAGAGGCGCAAAGCCUCCUCGACAUUCUUUAUGGGGCUGAGCUCAUCAGCCAGGACCAUCAGGUCAGUCACCAGGGUGUCCAGCAGCCCACGGACCUGGAAGAACGGGACAACAUCACAGGCAGAGUUUACUCUGUGGGAAGCACCUAUAUAUGAACUAUGCUGUGAGAGAAUAGCUGGAGAGGGGAAAGAAACCAGUUGUUUGUGAAAGAAUUUCACAAGUUCAAAGUUCUUGUGAAAUAAUUUUUGGUUUUGCAGAUUUUUUUUUUUUUUGACAGGAUCUCACUCUGUCACCCAGGCUGGAGUCCAGUGGUGUGAUCAUGGCUCACUGCAGCCUUGACUUCCCUGGCUCAGGUGAUUCUCCCAUCUCAGCCUCCCAAGUAGCUGGGACUACAGGCGUGCACCACCAGACCUGGCUACUUUUUUCUAUUUUUUGUAGAGAUGGGGUUUCAC
rnacentral:lncRNA from 1 species